UACGGGGGGGGGCGAGCGUUGUUCGGAAUCAUUGGGCGUAAAGGGUGCGUAGGUGGUGCUGUAAGUCUGACGUGAAAUCUCUGGGCUUAACCCAGAAUCCGCGCCAGGAACUGCAGUGCUGGAGUGUGGGGAGAGGAGAGUGGAAUUCCCGGUGUAGCGGUGAAAUGCGUAGAUAUCGGGGGGGGAAUACCAGUGGCGAAAGCGGCACCCUGGCGUCGUACUGACGCUCAUGUGCGAAAGCGUGGGGAGCGAACGGG
rnacentral:rRNA from 1 species